rnacentral:tRNA from 1 species
GGCUGGUUAGCUAUGUUGGUUAAAGCUUGGUGCUAAUAACACCAAGGUUGUAGUUUCAACCCCUGUAUGGGGCA